rnacentral:rRNA from 1 species
UCCUCCCUCUGUCGGCGUGCUUAACACAUGCAAGUCGAACGGAAAGGCCCUGCUUUUGUGGGGUGCUCGAGUGGCGAACGGGUGAGUAACACGUGAGUAACCUGCCCUUGACUUUGGGAUAAAUUCAGGAAACUGGGGCUAAUACCGGAUAGGAGCUCCUGAUGCAUGGUGGGGGUUGGAAAGUUUCGGCGGUUGGGGAUGGACUCGCGGCUUAUCAGCUUGUUGGUGGGGUAGUGGCUUACCAAGGCUUUGACGGGUAGCCGGCCUGAGCGGGUGACCGGCCACAUGGGGACUGAGAGACGGCCCAGACUCCUACGUGAGGCAGCAGUGGGGAAUAUUGCACAAUGGGCGGAAGUCUGAUGCAGCAACGCCGCGAGCGGGAUGACGGCCUUCGAGGUGUAAACCGCUGUCGCCGGUGACGAAGCGUGAGUGACGGUAAUGGGUAAAGAAGCACCGGCUAACUACGUG